GAUGAACGCUGGCGGCGUGCUUAAUACAUGCAAGUCGAGCGAACAGACGAGGAGCUUGCUCCUCUGACGUUAGCGGCAGACGGGUGAGUAACACGUGUAUAACCUACCUAUAAGACUGGGAUCACCUCGGGAAACCGGAGCUAAUACCGUAUAAUCUCUUGAACCGCAUGGUUCAAUAGUGAAAUUCGGUUUUGCUGUCUCUUAUCGAUGGAUCCGCGCCGCAUUAGCUAGUUGGUAAGUUCACGGCCUACCAAGGCAACGAUGCGUAGCCGAACUGAGAGAGUGAUCGGCCACACUGGAACUGAGACACGGUCCAGACUCCUACGGGAGGCAGCAGUAGGGAAUCUUCCGCAAUGGGCGAAAGCCUGACGGAGCAACGCCGCGUGAGUGAUGAAGGUCUUCGGAUCGUAAAACUCUGUUAUUGGGGAAGAACAAAUGUGUAAGUAACUAUGCACGUCUUGACGGUACCUAAUCAGAAAGCCACGGCUAACUACGUG
rnacentral:rRNA from 1 species